UACCUCCGACGAAGCGGUGUUCCCUAGGUUGAAGAGCGAAGCGGUGGGGUCAGAGGUGGACGGGGUUAGAAGUCCGGCAGCAGGGGUUGGGUGGUCCUCUAGCCCCAGCUGAAGCAGCGACCACUGCCGCGGGAGCGCAAGCCGAGGCCGUAGUCCCCGGACUUGUACAAUCCCAGCAAGCUCGACCAGGAGGAGGACGAGGAGCACGACGAGAAGGGGAGGGGGCGGGGGCGGUCACAGCGGAGCGACACGGGCGAGCGCCGCUGGAGGUUGCGGAGGAGGGUGUGGAUGCGGGCGGGGCAUAGGGUGGAAGAAGCUGCUACAGCAGCUGUUCAUACCGACCCUGUGGCUGCGGGUCCCCGUGGCGCCAGCGCGACCGCGCCCGGUUGGCUGCCCCGGCAGCUAACCCCAGCGAGGCUGCGGGGGUGCCACCUCCUCCACCAGCCCGGGCUGCCCCAGCUGAAGCAGCGGCCGCUACUGCGGGACCGCAAGCCGAGGCCCCAGUGCCUGGAUUUGUACCAUCCCGGCAACCUCGACCACCAGAGGUUACCGCGACCGCUCCCGGAGCGUCUCGAGCUCAACGACAGCCAAAGAGCCAAACGACGCGACGAGAAGUGUCAGCACGUCGACCGGUAGCGGCGAUCCCUAAACAGCAGGUUCCGUCAGUUAGGAAAGGACAUU
rnacentral:rRNA from 1 species